rnacentral:lncRNA from 1 species
UCCCUCAACUAAUCAAGAAGAAUAAUAAAUAAAAAGUGAUUAUAACUAACUCCCAACAACUUGAGAGGAAGAAGAUGAGAGCACCAACAAUUUGGCACCAACUCUUUGACACCAAGGAGAGAUGCCGCCCACCUCUCUUCUAGCUCCAAGGGAGACACCUAGAGAGAGAGGGUGUGGGCUAAAAAGAGAGAAGAGGAGAGGAGGCAUGGGCAUAGUAUAGGUGGCAGCAAGGAUGGG